UGAGCUGAGAUCAAGAGUUGGGCGCAUAACGACUGAGCCACCCAGGUGUCCCUAGACUGACUUUUUUGGUGGUGUUGGAGUGUCCUCCAACUGGAUUUGCAGCAGCGAUGAUGGAAGUUCUUGCGGGGAGGCUACAAACCAUGCCAGCCUUAGCAAGACUAAUACUUUGCUGCUCCAUAGCUUCCAACAAGGCUUGGUGUUGAUUCCCCAUCUUAUCAAAUUCAUCUAUCCCACAAAUACCUAUGAUCAGAGUAGAAUAACACAGAUGAAAGCUUUCUUUGGAUAAGUUCUAAAUCUUACAGGAUGGAAACUGUUCCACAAUAAGGAAAUUAUUUGUAAUUGUUUCCAGCAGUUAAAAUUAUAAAAUGUCAAAGGUAGAGAAUUUGUGCUUCUUUUACAGCAAAUAAAACACUUAACUAAC